rnacentral:rRNA from 1 species
AGAGUUUGAUCCUGGCUCAGGACGAACGCUGGCGGCGCGCCUAACACAUGCAAGUCGAACGAGCGAGAGAGAGCUUGCUUUCUCGAGCGAGUGGCGAACGGGUGAGUAACGCGUGAGGAACCUGCCUCAAAGAGGGGGACAACAGUUGGAAACGACUGCUAAUACCGCAUAAGCCCACGGGUCGGCAUCGACCAGAGGGAAAAGGAGCAAUCCGCUUUGAGAUGGCCUCGCGUCCGAUUAGCUAGUUGGUGAGGUAAUGGCCCACCAAGGCGACGAUCGGUAGCCGGACUGAGAGGUUGAACGGCCACAUUGGGACUGAGACACGGCCCAGACUCCUACGGGAGGCAGCAGUGGGGAAUAUUGCACAAUGGGGGAAACCCUGAUGCAGCGACGCCGCGUGGAGGAAGAAGGUCUUCGGAUUGUAAACUCCUGUUGUUGGGGAAGAUAAUGACGGUACCCAACAAGGAAGUGACGGCUAACUACGUGCCAGCAGCCGCGGUAAAACGUAGGUCACAAGCGUUGUCCGGAAUUACUGGGUGUAAAGGGAGCGCAGGCGGGAAGAUAAGUUGGAAGUGAAAUCUAUGGGCUCAACCCAUAAACUGCUUUCAAAACUGUUUUUCUUGAGUAGUGCAGAGGUAGGCGGAAUUCCCGGUGUAGCGGUGGAAUGCGUAGAUAUCGGGAGGAACACCAGUGGCGAAGGCGGCCUACUGGGCACCAACUGACGCUGAGGCUCGAAAGUGUGGGUAGCAAACAGGAUUAGAUACCCUGGUAGUCCACACCGUAAACGAUGAUUACUAGGUGUUGGAGGAUUGACCCCUUCAGUGCCGCAGUUAACACAAUAAGUAAUCCACCUGAGGAGUACGCCGGCAACGGUGAAACUCAAAGGAAUUGACGGGGGCCCGCACAAGCGGAGGAACAUGUGGUUUAAUUCGAUGAUACGCGAGGAACCUUACCCGGGCUUGAAUUGCAGAGGAAGGAUUUGGAGACAAUGACGCCCUUCGGGGCCUCUGUGAAGGUGCUGCAUGGUUGUCGUCAGCCCGUGCCGUGAGGUGUCGGCUUAAGUGCCAUAACGAGCGCAACCCCCCUCCAUAGUUGCCAUCAGGUGAAGCUGGGCACUCUGUGGACACUGCCACCGUAAGGUGCGAGGAAGGUGGGGAUGACGUCAAAUCAGCACGGCCCUUACGUCCGGGGCUACACACGUGUUACAAUGGCAGGUACAGAGAGCCGGUCGUAUGCAAAUACGAUCCAAUCCUUAAAGCCUGUCUCAGUUCGGACUGGGGUCUGCAACCCGACCCCACGAAGCUGGAUUCGCUAGUAAUCGCGCAUCAGCCAUGGCGCGGUGAAUACGUUCCCGGGCCUUGUACACACCGCCCGUCAAGCCAUGAAAGCCGGGGGCGCCUGAAGUCCGUGACCGCAAGGAGCGGCCUAGGGCGAAACUGGUAAUUGGGGCUAAGUCGUAACAAGGUA